GAUGAACGCUGGCGGCGUGCUUAACACAUGCAAGUCGAACGGACAGGCGCGGCGCUUGCUGCUCUGUCGUUUGGCGCGCGGGUGAGUGUCACGCGUGUAACCUCUCCCUGUCUUUCUGGUAUCACUUCGGAACACCGGCUCUUAUCCCAUAUGAUCUCUUGCUCCACAUGGUUCGAUAGUGAAAUUCGGUGUUUCUGUCACUUAUCGCUGCUUCUCCGCUGCAUUGGCUAGUUGGUAAGGUAACGGCGUACGAAGGCUACGAUGCCUAACCGACCGGCGAGGGGGAUCGGCCACACGGGAACGGAGACACGGUCCAGACUCCUAAGGGAGGCAGCAGUAGGGAAGCUUCCGCAAUGGGCGAAAGCCUGACGGAGCAACGCCGCGUGAGUGAUGAAGGUCUUCGGAUCGUAAAACUCUGUUAUUAGGGAAGAACAUAUGUGUAAGUAACUAUGCACGUCUUGACGGUACCUAAUCAGAAAGACACGGCUAACUACGUG
rnacentral:rRNA from 1 species